CCUGAAAGCAUGAGAAGACCUGGUUAGGCCAGCAGACACGAGGGAAAGAACAAGGAAGCUGAACUCUAGUAAACAGCUGUCAAACUUAGUUAGUUGUCUGGGCUUUUCUGCUCUUGUAUGUAACGAUUUGUUGAAUUAAAUAAUGGCUAGAGUCCUUAUUAGGGACUGUUAGCUUAUAUGUGACAGACUGCAAAAAUUGGCCAUAAAUACUUUGCAGCUCUUCCCCAUCAAGGCGCAGAGUCUGCUUCUCCACCUCUUGAAUCUGGGCUUGGCUCUAUGACUUGCUUUUGGCCAAUGGUACAUGAGCAAGCAUGGCUUGAAAAAAGUUGUCGGGAACCUUUCCACCACUAUGUAAGCAAGCCUGGCUAUCUGCUGGAGAGACCACGUGGAGAGAGGCUCCAGAAACACAGGGAAUCCAAAGACCAUCAAUUGGCCUGGACCCAAGACUGACCGUGGAUCUUCCCAACUACCAUUUCAUCAUUUUGCUGAUGAUAUUGCACUCUUGGCUUGGAUCAGCUUAUUCAGCAGUGAAGCUCUAGUGCCAUUGUAAUGACUACUCCUGCUGCCUGGGAUGCCCUUGUUUUACUGGCAAACUCCUACAAGUUCUUCCAGACCACUCUGCUUUGACAUCUCCCUGAACGCCAGCCUCACACUUGGCAGUACCUGGAAACUGGUCCCCAUCGGACUCCUCCCUCAGCUGCUCACUCCUCCGGCUCUCUCGGGCCUCCCUCCAGCGCAGCUUCUGGAUGGAUGGAUUUCGGAGGCAUUUCCGGAUGCGGCACUUUUUCCGCUGCACGGUCUCCGGGCAGGAUGCACCUCCAAACUGAGGCUCCAUUUGGAUCAUGCGGGUUCGAAUCAUGUGGCCUUUCCCACAUGACUUGUUACAUUCCGACCAUUGGGACCACUCGGUGAGCUCACAGUCAAUGGCUGGCAAGACACAGAUGGGCGUGAGUGUAUCUCAUGUCUGAAACAAGAUAUGGUCACUUAUACUCUCCUUUGAACAUCUCAGCACAAGCCUAUGGGAAAUGCACAGCAGGUGCUGUUACCCCAUUUUACAGAAGAAGAAACUGAGGCUCCAAGAGACAGACUGACUUUAUCCAGCCCACACGGUUGUGGGCAGCGUGCACACGGAGCCGUCCUCCGGGAACUGCUUCACGUACCUCUCCCGGGACCGCAUGCCAGUGCCGCAGGAGAUGCUGCAGGGCGACCAGGUGAUCCACUCGGACAUGGUGCAGGUGGAGCCGUCUG